UGCGAAUUUCCAGAGAGGGAGAGCCAUGUUCUAAGGCGCUUUCAUUAACCUCGCCCCUUCUGCUGUUGGUUCCUGGGAGGAAACGAUUAUUGCUCCCACAUGUGACUUUGAGAAGAAAAGUGGGGGAGCUCACACCACACAAUGCUUUUGUGUCUUCCAUGCUAGCAGUGGAUUACCAAGAAUGUUUUUCAGCCUGCAUUAGGCUAUACCUGGAAACGUCACUGACUUUGAAGACCUGGCUAAGUGGCGUGCUGUGUUGGGAAUCCCAUUGGAGCCUUCGCUCAGACUGACAGCAGGUGUGUGAGCCCCUCUCCUGCUCAUUGUUAUCCAGACGUUUUAUCCUUCACCGACUGCCCGCAGCUCUGGAGUGGGCCAGCCCCUGAGGAAGUGGCAGAAGAUGGAGGUGGUUCUUUCAGAA